CCUACGGGUGGCAGCAGUGGGGGAUAUUGCACAAUGGGGGAAACCCUGAUGCAGCGACGCCGCGUGUGGGAAGACGGUCCUCUGGAUUGUAAACCACUGUCCCCAGGGACGAAGAUGACGCUACCUGGGGAGUAAGCUCCGGCUAACUACGUGCCAGCAGCCUCGGUACUACGUAGGGAGCGAGCUUUGUCCGGAAUUACUGGGUGUAAAGGGAGCGUAGGCGGGACUGCAAGUUGGGUGUCAAAUCUACCGGCUCAACCGGUAGCCGCACUCAAAACUGCAGUUCUUGAGUGAAGUAGAGGCAGGCGGAAUUCGUGGUGUAGCGGUGAAAUGCGUAGAUAUUAGGAGGAACACCAGUGGCGAAGGCGGCCUGCUGGGCUGUGACUGACGCUGAGGCUCGAAAGUGUGGGGAGCAAACAGGAUUAGAUACCCCUGUAGUC
rnacentral:rRNA from 1 species